rnacentral:rRNA from 1 species
CUCCGGCCAUACCACCCUGAACGCGCCCGAUCUCAUCUGAUCUCAGAAGCUAAGCAGGGUCGGGCCUGGUUAGUACUUGGAUGGGAGAAUGCACAUAAUUAUGGAGG